GUUUGCAUUUUUCAUGAAGAUUUGAAAUGUUUUAUUGUGAUGUUUAUGCUCGAAUCACUGUUGCAUUGAAUCUUACUUGUAGUUGAAUGCUGGAGAGUUUGAGCGUUUCAAAUACUGAAAUUUGACAUUUGCUCUGCAGUUCGUAUAGUCCAGUACUCCAGUCUUCCCACCACUCCCUUUCUUAAUUUCAUACCUGAAUCCAAUCAUGAUUGACAAGAAGUCAUAAAGGUUCCCACGCUUUUGCCAAGUUGGAAACCGGAGAUAUGUGUUUGCACCUGAAGUUGUUUCCUUUUCAGAAAGAAAAGCUGGUGAGGGUGUCUUCUUAUGGUUCCAGUCAGUCUCACAGGUUUCACAUUUAUGGAACUCUCCCAAUUGUCAGUCAUGAUCAUCAAUAGAAAUACCACCAUCUAUCAUAUCCUCCUUGUACAAUAUUUUGGCUGUCUUGUAUUUUUUUUUUUAUUUUUUUUUUUUGAUAAUUAAUCAGCUGGGUGAUGUUUCACCCUCUUCUUCAGUUGAUAAUCAUUUGUUUCUUUGCUGGUUUCCCCUGAAAUGAUGACAGAUGAUGAUGAUGGCCAUUGAACUGGGAAUUCUGAAUUCAUUCAUGGCAAAUAUGAGAGAUGAUGGAGAACCAACCUCAUACAAAAGAGAUUGGUUUAAGAAUAUUGCUUUGCUUUGGAGAUUGGUGUCUCAAUUUUGUCUUCCCUUUUGAAGCAAAUGUUAAUUAGUUGAA